GUGUACAUCAAGUAUCGUCAGACAAUAAAUGUCUUGGAUCGGAUCGGGUGCAAGUUUAGUUUUGUAUAUUCAAUGAUCAGUCAUGACAGUUUCAGCUAAUUUUGUUUACAAAUGGUAGAAAACAGUGAAAGUGUGGCGUCUUUAUAUCGACUAGAACUAAAAAAAAAAAAAAAAUCAAGAAAACGACUCAAAGCUAAUUCAAUUCUGGUGUUUUUGCUUGAAAAAUUCUGAAAAUGGUUCCAGAUGAAUCGUUGAAUCUUCAUCCACACCUUUGAGUCGUAUCUGAGGAGGAAAAACCAAAAGCAAGGACUGUGCAAUAGAUUCCUACUUUCUACUUUGACUAUCUGGAGGAUUUUUCGGGGCGGUGGAAGAGAUUUACGACUGAACAAUACUGAGCCUGAAGAAGAUGUUUCCACACAUGCAGCUUGACCGUUACGAAUGUGUAUUUCUGUGUAAUUACUUUGUGUGCAUAUUUAUAUUGUGCCUUUAACCAUCAUCAUAAUCUCAAAGGGAAAUAUGUACGUUUUUGUUUUGUUUGAUCCGUAUAUUGCUGCAUCCUUCUAGUAUCCAAAGUGUUAUUUUACCUUUUUUAAUGCUUUUUUUUUUUUUUUUUUUAAGAUUUUCUUUUGUUACCCAGUUUUCUUGAUAUGUUCUGUCUGCACUGUAAAGGUCUCCUCCAAAACUCCACUUUUCAUUCUCGUUUCUCGUCCAUUUUGCUCCUUUUGAAUGGAAAUCUGGUUUAUUUAGUGGCUGUGAAACGCUCAGACAAUCACAAUCCGGCGUUUUUAAGGCAGAAGUGAGAAGCAGCUUUAAAUGAAGCUGCUUCUGAUUGCUCAGUGUUGUACUACCUAAAGAAACCCAAGAAAAGUUAAGACCUUUUGCAUCUUUUCAGCUUAUUGAAUGUUUAUUUCUUUACCUGCAUGUUGCAUCUGUUUUGAAGUAAAUCUCAUGGAGAAUGUCCGUGAAACGUUAAAGGGCCUUUAGUAGAUGAGUCCUCUUUCUGUUUUUAUUCUUUCCGAUGCCAAAUACUGUUGUUCAAAUUCUGUCUGUUUUCUGUUUUUUUAUGUGUUUCAUCUCAUUUUCGAGGCGAUCUGGGGUCGUGUGGACGCCUGUAAACUGAACACUUAUUCUAAUAAUCACAGCUAAUUUAAUUCCAGUAAUCACUACGUUCCCUCCACAGUCCUGUACGGUUCUCCUGUGUACGCCCAAGAACAUGUAAAUACAUUUUAAAAAGUUUCAG
ensembl:lncRNA